rnacentral:tRNA from 1 species
UGGCGUCCCGUAGGGGAUUCGAACCCCUGUUAUCGCCGUGAGAGGGCGACGUCCUAGGCCUCUAGACGAACGGGAC